UACGGAGGGUGCAAGCGUUAUCCGGAUUCACUGGGUUUAAAGGGUGCGUAGGCGGACAGGUAAGUCAGGGGUGAAAUCUCUGGGCUUAACCCAGAAACUGCCGUUGAUACUAUUUGUCUUGAAUAUCCUGGAGGUAGGCGGAAUAUGUCAUGUAGCGGUGAAAUGCGUAGAUAUCGAGAGGAACACCUGAGGUGAAGACGGGUUGCCGGGCCGACACUGGAGCUGAGUGCGCGAAAGCCAGGGGAGCAAACGGG
rnacentral:rRNA from 1 species